AGUGAACGCUGGCGGUAGGCCUAGCACAUGCAAGUCGAACGGCAGCACAGGAGAGCUUGCUCUCUGGGUGGCGAGUGGCGGACGGGUGAGGAAUACAUAGGAAUCUACUUUUUCGUGGGGGAUAACGUGGGGAAACUUACGCUAAUACCGCAUACGACCUACGGGUGAAAGCAGGGGACCUUCGGGCCUUGCGCGAUUGAAUGAGCCGAUGUCGGAUUAGCUAGUUGGCGGGGUAAAGGCCCACCAAGGCGACGAUCCGUAGCUGGUCUGAGAGGAUGAUCAGCCACACUGGAACUGAGACACGGUACAGACUCCUACGGGAGGCAGCAGUGGGGAAUAUUGGACAAUGGGCGCAAGCCUGAUCCAGCCAUACCGCGUGGGUGAAGAAGGCCUUCGGGUUGUAAAGCCCUUUUGUUGGGAAAGAAAUCCAGCUGGCUAAUACCCGGUUGGGAUGACGGUACCCAAAGAAUAAGCACCGGCUAACUUCGUGCCAGCAGCCGCCGUAA
rnacentral:rRNA from 1 species